rnacentral:rRNA from 1 species
AGAGUUUGAUCCUGGCUCAGGAUGAACGCUGGCGGCGUGCUUAACACAUGCAAGUCGAACGAUGAUCCCAGCUUGCUGGGGGAUUAGUGGCGAACGGGUGAGUAACACGUGAGUAACCUGCCCUUAACUCUGGGAUAAGCCUGGGAAACUGGGUCUAAUACCGGAUAUGACUCCUCAUCGCAUGGUGGGGGGUGGAAAGCUUUUUGUGGUUUUGGAUGGACUCGCGGCCUAUCAGCUUGUUGGUGGGGUAAUGGCUCACCAAGGCGACGACGGGUAGCCGGCCUGAGAGGGUGACCGGCCACACUGGGACUGAGACACGGCCCAGACUCCUACGGGAGGCAGCAGGGGGGAAUAUUGCACAAUGGGCGAAAGCCUGAUGCAGCGACGCCGCGUGAGGGAUGACGGCCUUCGGGUUGUAAACCUCUUUCAGUAGGGAAGAAGCGAAAGUGACGGUACCUGCAGAAGAAGCGCCGGCUAACUACGUGCCAGCAGCCGCGGUAAUUC